UACGUAGGUGGCAAGCGUUGUCCGGAAUUAUUGGGCGUAAAGCGCGCGCAGGUGGUUUCUUAAGUCUGAUGUGAAAGCCCACGGCUCAACCGUGGAGGGUCAUUGGAAACUGGGGAACUUGAGUGCAGAAGAGGAAAGUGGAAUUCCAAGUGUAGCGGUGAAAUGCGUAGAGAUUUGGAGGAACACCAGUGGCGAAGGCGGGUUGCUGGGCCGACACUGACGCUGAUGCGCGAAAGCGUGGGGAGCAAACAGG
rnacentral:rRNA from 1 species